CUCCUCUGAUACUUGACCCCUCAUUUCUGUUCAGCUGAAACCUGUUCCUAUCAACUUAGGCUAAACUGCAAUAAACCCAGUUUAAACCAAAAUAUGUAUGUCCACAGUGUCUCUGGCACUAGCUUGAACUGAAUCAAUUUAACAUCACAUCUUCAGUUAAACUGAUGCAACCUUUUGUGGAGACUCUGACGGAAAUGAUCCAUUUGUUGGCCGAGCGGUUUUUAUUGCACUAGUGGCCCCAACUGAGAUCAGAACUCCGUUGUGCUAGGCACUGUACAAACACCUAGUAAGAGUUCGAACAAAGGAUGAGGGGGAUGGGGAAAUGGAGAGCAAAGUGACUUGCCCAAGGCCGUACAGCAGGUCAGUGACAGGAAUAGAACCCAGUCUCCUGACCCUCAGUCCCGUGCUCCAUCUAUUAGACUGCACUUCCUUUCAGGCUGUACUGUUGUGCUGUUAUCAAAGGAGCUGUAAUUUUUUUUUUUUUUUUGGUGCUGAUUUGCUGGAAGUGCUGCCGUGCCCAGAUGUGUGGCUCCUGGCGAAGAAGUGGAUUUUUGCCCUCGGCACCAUGUAGCGGUUGGCUUCUGCUGCUGUGAGACGUAGGGUGGCGUUCUCUUCAUUGGGACUUCAACGCUUCCGAUGCAGCCCUACUGAUCACGACAUAGCUUAGCGCUUGGGUUGCUCAUAUGGCUGCACCUCCUGUCUCAGAGAGGGGUUUGGAGUGGGGACGAGUUAAAUCUCUCCUCCUACCCCAUCUUUCUCCACCCCCUACUUGUCUUCUGCUGGGCCAGUCUGACAGAGGCACCCUGAAAAGUUGGGGAGGGCCGUACAGAGCAGUGCGGGGGCGAGAGCCUUGGGAGGGAGGCGGUCGAGAGCACAUCUGGCCUUUGGUGGGGUGAGGAGCCAGGAGCAGCCUUGCCAGGGCAGAGAUCUCCAGCUCAUCAGCGACUCCAGCCUUGGCUUGCUGGUUCUUCCUAGGCUGGCACCCCCAGGCUCUUGCAGCUGAGCCUGCUGACUGCUUCCCUCAUGGGCUGGACAGCAAGCUCCGUGUUGCUGGGCCUUUGUUCCCGCUCCGGCUUUCGGGCCAUGUUCUCUCGUGCACUCUCCCUGGGCUGGAGCUGCAGCUGCUGAGUUGACUAAUUCUGGCUCCACGACCUCUGGGCCAAGAGCAGCCACAGGAAGAGGAGGAGGAGUCUGGGGUGGGGGUGGGGGUGGCUAGCAAGGGGCUGGACCGGGGGCGGGCAUCCUUGCACUAAGCUGCCAAACCAGUUGGCAACUGCUGUCCCAUUGGCUCUUCUGUUG